GAGUUUGAUCAUGGCUCAGAACGAACGCUGGCGGCAGGCUUAACACAUGCAAGUCGAACGCCCCGCAAGGGGAGUGGCAGACGGGUGAGUAACGCGUGGGAACCUACCUUUCGGUACGGAAUAACUCGGGGAAACUCGUGCUAAUACCGUAUAUUCCGGUAACGGGAAAGAUUUAUCGCCGAAAGACGGGCCCGCGUUAGAUUAGCUAGUUGGUGGGGUAAUGGCCUACCAAGGCGACGAUCUAUAGCUGGUCUGAGAGGAUGAUCAGCCACACUGGGACUGAGACACGGCCCAGACUCCUACGGGAGGCAGCAGUGGGGAAUCUUGGACAAUGGGGGAAACCCUGAUCCAGCCAUGCCGCGUGAGUGAUGACGGCCUUAGGGUUGUAAAGCUCUUUCACGCAUGACGAUGAUGACGGUAAUGCGAGAAGAAGCCCCGGCUAACUUCGUGCCAGCAGCCGCCGU
rnacentral:rRNA from 1 species